CUUUUGAACAAAACGACGAAAGAUAAUAGCUGAUGUUGAAUAUUGCCUAAAAGAUCUUACCAUUAAAUCAAGCAAUAUUUCACAUUCACCAGAAGAAGUACAAUCAUUGUAUUUAAAAAGUAUAUCGAAAACUUUCAACUGAGAGUGCUGUUCCCUAAGGUGCAAAUAAUAUUGAUUGUGAAGUGAACUCUGACAGUAAUCUAUUGAUAUUAAAUAUUGGCAUUAGACAAGAUAAUAGCUUUGGCAAGUAAAGGAGGCCAGACUUUAAAGGAGGCUGUCCAGAGAAUGUCCUUUGCGUUAUUCACUAACAACCUCUGCUGUAAACUUAACUGGUCUGGUAUUACCAUAAAUGACAAUGAAAGUAACUUUGUAAAACAAAGACUUACACUUGCUUAAAAGAGCUGUAAAAAGAAAUCCUGCAACAACUUCAGCAACUGAAUCAGAUUUUCAAUAUGAGGUUGUGCGUUUUUUGCGUGGUGCAUCAGAUCGCAAUGGCAGAAAAAAAGUUAGACAAGACCAAAAAAACAAACAAGCCAAGAAAAUGAUGCCUACAUCAAGUUUUCCAAUGCCAUUGAAUAAUUUAGUUCAGAAGAUGAAUAACAUUGCUAAUUAAAAUAAGCAUCUUUAAUUACAUAUUUGUUAUCUUUAUUUUACAAUAUUUUAUAUAUUUUUAAACUCAAUAGAGUAAAGUUUUUUUGUGUAAUGAGUAUUAUUGAUCUGUGUUUUUCAUAUUCAUUCUUUUUACAGUAACCUUUUGUAUAUGAGAUUGUAGAUGAGAAUUUAAAUCGUGAUAUUGAAUCUUACCAGAGAAUAAAGAAACCGUUUACCUCAACCAGAGUUAUAUUUCAUAGAAUUAUGUUGACCAUGAUCCAAAUAUUGCCAUGGGUAUAAGAUAGAUAUUUGAUUUGCAAACUGGAUUUAAAUCAUAUUUUCUUUAAACAUAUUUAUUUGCUCUUUAUAUACUUACAAAUAAUU